GACGAACGCUGGCGGCGUGCUUAACACAUGCAAGUCGAACGAUCCCCUUCGGGGGAUAGUGGCGAACGGGUGAGUAACACGUGGGCAACCUGCCCCUCGCUCUGGGAUAACCCCGGGAAACCGGGGCUAAUACCGGAUACGACCCAGGAAGACAUCUUCCGGGGUGGAAAGAAUUUCGGCGAGGGAUGGGCCCGCGGCCUAUCAGCUAGUUGGUGGGGUAACGGCCCACCAAGGCGACGACGGGUAGCCGGCCUGAGAGGGCGACCGGCCACACUGGGACUGAGACACGGCCCAGACUCCUACGGGAGGCAGCAGUGGGGAAUAUUGCGCAAGGGGCGAAAGCCUGACGCAGCGACGCCGCGUGAGGGAAGACGGCCUUCGGGUUGUAAACCUCUUUCAGCAGGGAAGAAGGGAAACUGACGGUACCUGCAGAAGAAGCACCGGCUAACUACGUGCCAGCCGCCGCAGUAAAAC
rnacentral:rRNA from 1 species